AGUUUAUGUAUCAUCCAUGAUCUCAGUUGUUAUCUCCAAAAAGCCACAAUUGACCACCCAUAUAUUAUUUCUGCAGGUUAAGAAGCCUCACACCCCUUUAUUGAAGCCAAAGGCUUAUGCUGACAAUUUCAAGUGGAAGGGCCCGGCGCCAAACUGAGGAACAUUGAUCUUUCAGUUCGCCCCUACUUUGGUUCAUAUUGAAGAGAGGUUCCAUCACAAGCUGUCAUCUUCUUUGUUGUGUCUGGGACAUAGUCCAGACUUCAAACUCCAUUGUUCUUUGUCGUGUACCGGAUGUAUUGUUGCUCCAUGAUGAUAGCUCAGUGGUUAUAAUAAUUGGCUAGAGAAUGGUUCUUUUUUGCCUUCCUACUA